rnacentral:piRNA from 1 species
GGCAGAGGCAGGUGGAGCUCCUGAGUUUGA